UCGUGCGGAAACGAGUUAUCUGAACCUUCGGGGAACGAUAACGGCGUCGCGCGGCGGUCGGGUGAGUAAUGCCUAGGAAAUCGCCCUGAUGUGGGGGAUAACCAUUGGAAACGAUGGCUAAUACCGCAUAAUACCUACGGGUCAAAGAGGGGGACCUUCGGGCCUCUCGCUUCAGGAUAUGCCUAUGUGGGAUUAGCUAUUUGGUGAGGUAAUGGCUCACCAAGGCGACGAUCCCUAUCUGGUCUGAGAGGAUGAUCAGUCUCUCUGGAACUGAGACACGGUCCACACUCCUACGGGAGGCAGCAGUGGGGAAUAUUGCACCAUGGGCGCUAGCCUGAUGCAUCCAUGCCGCGUGUGUGAAGAAGGCCCUCGGGUUGUCAAGCAC
rnacentral:rRNA from 1 species